rnacentral:rRNA from 1 species
GGCUCAGGAUGAACGCUAGCGGCAGGCCUAACACAUGCAAGUCGAGGGCAGCGUGACGGUAGCAAUACUGUUGACGGCGACCGGCGCGACGGGUGCGUAACGCGUAUGCAACCUGCCUCCAACAGGGAGAUAAUCCGGGAGAAAUUUGGUCUAAUAUCCCAUAAUAUACUGAACGGCAUCGUUUGGUAUUGAAAGAUUCGUUGGUUGGAGAUAGGCAUGCGUUCCAUUAGAUAGUUGGUGAGGUAACGGCUCACCAAGUCGACGAUGGAUAGGGGUUCUGAGAGGAAGGUCCCCCACAUUGGUACUGAGACACGGACCAAACUCCUACGGGAGGCAGCAGUGAGGAAUAUUGGUCAAUGGGCGAGAGCCUGAACCAGCCAAGUCGCGUGAAGGAUGAAGGAUCUAUGGUUUGUAAACUUCUUUUAUACGGGAAUAAAGUGUGGUACGUGUACCAUUUUGUAUGUACCGUAUGAAUAAGCAUCGGCUAACUCCGUG